AGGAAGCACACGAAGAUUGAAUAAGACGAUAGGAAAGAGGGACGUCGUCGUCCUUUUCGCCUUAUGCUGCUGGUAUCGUUUGUGGGGUGUCGAAGAGGAAAGGACGUAGGCUAUGUAUGUGUGUGUGAAACAAAG
ensembl:ncRNA F39C12.8 ncRNA